rnacentral:rRNA from 1 species
AAAUUUGUACUAUGGGGGAAACCCUGAUCCAGCCAUCCCGCGUGUAUGAUGAAGGCCUNCGGGUUNUNAAGUACUUUUGGCAGAGNCGAAAAGGUAUCUCCUAAUACGAGAUACUGCUGACGGUAUCUGCAGAAUAAGCAACGGCUACCUACGUGCCAGCAGCCGCGGUAAUACGUAGGGUGCAAGCGUUAAUCGGAAUUACUGGGCGUAAAGCGUGUGUAGGCGGUUCGGAAAGUAAGAUUUGAAAGCCCAGGGCUCAACCUUGGGACUGCAUUUUUAACUGCCGAGCUAGAGUAUGUCAGAAGGGGGGUAGAAUUCCACGUGUAGCAGUGAAAUGCGUAGAUAUGUGGAGGAAUACCGAUGGCGAAGGCAGCCCCCUGGGAUAAUACUGACGCUCAGACACGAAAACGUGGGGAGCAAACA